CAUCCUGGGGCUGGAGAAGGUUCCAAGGGUUGGGCUGUUCGCCCAUUAAAGUGGCACGCGAGCUGGGUUCAGAACGUCGUGAGACAGUUCGGUCCCUAUCUGUUGUGGGCGUAGGAAAUUUGAGGAGGACUGGCACUAGUACGAGAGGACCGUGCUGGACGAACCGCUGGUGCAUGAGUUGUUUCGCCAGGAGCAUAGCUCAGUAGCCAAGUUCGGUUAGGAUAAGCGCUGAAAGCAUCUAAGCGCGAAGCCAUCUUCAAGAAGAGAUUUCCAUUGAGGGUCGUUGAAGACGACGACGUAGAUAGGUUACAGGUGUAAGACAGAGAUGUAUAGCCGAGUAAUACUAAUAGCCCGAAAGCUUUUUUAUG
rnacentral:rRNA from 1 species